UGAGGAAUAUUGGACAAUGGGCGCAAGCCUGAUCCAGCCAUGCCGCGUGAGGGAUGAAGGUCUUCGGAUUGUAAACCUCUUUUAUUCGGGAAUAAGAAAUCUAUGGAAACAUAGAGAGUGAAUGUACCGAAUGAAUAAGCCACGGCUAACUUCGUGCCAGCAGCCGCGGUAAUACGAAGGUGGCAAGCGUUACUCGGAAUUACUAGGCGUAAAGGGCAGGUAGGUGGUUUGAUAAGUCUGUUGUGAAAGCUCCUGGCUUAACUGGGAGAGGUCAACAGAAACUAUCAGGCUUGAGUAUGGGAGAGGGUACUGGAAUUCCCGGUGUAGCGGUGAAAUGCGCAGAGAUCGGGAGGAACACCUAUGGCGAAAGCAGGUACCUGGACCAUUACUGACACUCAGCUGCGAAAGCUAGGGGAGCAAACAGGAUUAGAUACCCCCGUAGUCCCUGAG
rnacentral:rRNA from 1 species